UGCCUGGGAAAUCCCAUGGACCGAGGAGCCUGGCAGGUCUACAGUCCAUGGAGUCGCAAAAGAUUGCAGCCACCUCAGUCUUCCAAGUCCUUAUUUCUGGAUUCCUGGCUCAUCAACACAGUGAGAUCUCCCAGUGAUGUAUCGAUUUCUCCUCCUGAUAUUAUUGUCCAGAAGUUGUCCCCAAAGACAAUGCUGCCACAAUCAAAAGGUAUACCUUAUUGGUUUCCUUUCUGAAAGAAAGGCUGAAAAUAAAUGGCUUUGGAUAUUUAUUUCAAA